rnacentral:rRNA from 1 species
AUUGAACGCUGGCGGCAUGCCUAACACAUGCAAGUCGAACGGAGGUAGGGGCAACUCUACUUCAGUGGCGGACGGGUGAGGAAUGCGUCGGAAUCUACCCUAUGGUGGGGGAUAACACAGGGAAACUUGUGCUAAUACCGCAUGAUGUCGAGAGACCAAAGCAGGGGACCGCAAGGCCUUGCGCGAUAGGAUGAGCCGACGCCCGAUUAGCUAGUUGGUAGGGUAAUGGCCUACCAAGGCGACGAUCGGUAGCUGGUCUGAGAGGAUGAUCAGCCACACUGGGACUGAGACACGGCCCAGACUCCUACGGGAGGCAGCAGUGGGGAAUAUUGGACAAUGGGCGAAAGCCUGAUCCAGCAAUGCCGCGUGUGUG